CACGAAGUUAGCCGGGGCUUCUUCUCCGGUUACCGUCAUUAUCUUCACCGGUGAAAGAGCUUUACAACCCUAGGGCCUUCAUCACUCACGCGGCAUGGCUGGAUCAGGCUUGCGCCCAUUGUCCAAUAUUCCCCA
rnacentral:rRNA from 1 species